GUCUAAUGAUGGAAAGCCAAAAGAGAAAAGGGAACGGUGGCACUGAGAAGGUCAAAAGAAAGAAAAUGAUGGAGGAGGAGGCAGCGAAAUGCUCCAAAAUAACAUGUUGCGGAAAUCAACGAGUAAAGAUACUACAGGUGAAAUACGCUAACUUUCCUAAGCACCUAA